CUAACUUUUUUAGCUAUGUGAUUGUCUGCUACUGCUGCCGCUAUGCUAUUCCUUUUGUUUGUCCUCAUGCUCUUAUCUUUUUUUGCAAUUACUUUGGCAUGAUCUUUUCAAAAUUUCCGACACCAACUUUGAGAAGGAAGAAGAAUUCUCUUCUUGUAGCAAUUGAGGGUCUUGCUUUCCUCGAUCAAUGACUUCCAAAGCUCAAAGUCUCUAAACAGAGUUAUGACAUGAAUUCGAUCACCCUAAACCCAUAAACAAAACAAAGAUGCGGAAGUAAAUCCAAAUGCUUAAAUUUAUUCUCAUAUUAUUACCGUACGAUGUAUUAAUGUUGUGCCCAUGUCAAUGCUUCAUAACUUAUAGCUUUUCAAUGUAUUUUUCCAAACAUCAUAUAUAACUUUUGUUUGUGAGUUUAAUAUUGUAGAAUUGUACAGCUCCGAACAUAAUCUCUCUUUUUUUUUUUUUUUUCUUCCUCCUUUUGUUAACCUAAUGUAAUCACAUAAUCAUAAAGAAGAAUAUCAUACAUAGUUUUUCACACAUUAAUUUAUUUAUCACUUGAAUUUGUGUUUCAUUAUGAAACAUUGCUGAUUCCUUGCUAGCUGUCUAGCUAAGGUAUCUCUUCAUGGUUCUGUAUAAUUUGGACCCAUAAAAAGAUAGGUCCAACUUGGACCAGUCAAACAGUGACCAUUGAUUUAUUAUAUAUUUAGUCCAAUGGAUCAGAUUUAAAGAUGUGUACCUAUUAAUCAAGUUGCAGUGUUACCAAGCCUAUGUAAGCUUGCCCACAGUUGAUUAUUCGUUUUUCAACCUCUGGAUUUAUGGAAUGCACAGCAAGCAACCCCUUCUUCUUUAUUCGUUUUUCAAUAAGGCUCUGUUUGAUAAAAAUAACGGAUAACUGAUAGCUUAUAGUGUAUAGCUGAUGUCUGGUAGCUUAUAACUGAUAGCUGAUGUCUGGUAGCUGAUACUACCUCCGUUCUUUUUUAAUUGUCACAUUUUGAUAUUUUACACAAACCAAGACAAUCAACAAUUGAUACUACUUUUGAUGCAAUAAGUUAUACUUUUACUAUAAUGACCUUAUUCAUUUAAUAUCUCAUUUCAUAUAUUUAUCUCCACAAUAAAUAACUAAGGACAAUAUUGGUAAAACAAGAUUUAAUGUUGCAUUGAACUUUGAAAGUGACAGUUAAAUAGGAACAAAAAAUUUCUCCAAAAGUGACACUUAAAAAAGAACGGAGGGAGUAGUUUAUAAGUGAUGACUGAUAGCUGAUAAACUAAUUAGAGUGUUUGGUAAAAUUAACGGUUCAACUAAAUGUAAAAUGAUAUAAAAAG
rnacentral:lncRNA from 1 species